CGGAAAAGCUGCUCAGUAGGUGGUCGUUGAUUACUUGUAUGUAUAGAACAAGCUAAAAGAUUCAUUUGACGAAAAGGGUAUAAAAAGAAGGAGAUAAACGUAACCCCUAGUUUCUAAAGGGGUCUCCUAUCUUUCUUCGAAAAAUAGAAAUGGUGCCACUUGAGAGCAAACAGGGCGAAAGAUCCAAGAAAUGCUAAUCCAGCGAUUAACAGCCAUCAACAGCAAAAUAAGCGAGUCAGAAUGGAAGAUCAUCAACAAUGAAGAUAAAACUCAAAAUUUAAAAAUCAGCAAAAAGGAUGGAAAACUAGGCUCAUGGAAAAGUAAAGCUUCUGGAAUGGGAUAAAGAAACUAUAUUUGUCCAUAUGUAAAUAGUGUAUUUAGAUGUAUUGAUUUGUUACAAGGAAAUAAAACUCCUUCAUGGUUUA